AUCAUUUCUCUGUAUUUCAAUCAGGAUCAAGUGUAGUAUUUAUUCUAAUCCAUUUGAUAUCUGAUUUGUUCUCUAAACGAGAGCGUUAUAUCAAACAGAUUUUUUUUUAAAACAAGGAGCUGGGAUAGGAGUUUGCUCUUUCGGCUCCAUAUACCAAUCUGAUAUUGUAGUACGUCUUAUGUUCUAGGGAAAGGUUUU